GGACGCGUAGCUCAGUUGGUUAGAGCGCACGGUUCACAUCCGUGAGGUCACAGGUUCAAUUCCUGCCGCGUCCACCA
rnacentral:tRNA from 2 species